ACAGCGAUCUUUUGUCAUUGUUAAACAAAUUAAACCACGACCAUGUGUUGCCAUGAAAUUGAUCGCUUCUGGUGUGAUUUUUUCUGCUGCAAUGAUU
rnacentral:antisense_RNA from 1 species